AUGCGUCGUGGCUUACGUUUCCGAGAAGGACUUCUUGGCAUUCUUGUGCAGGUUGGACACAACAAUCCUCGCUGCAAGCUGCAAAAGAACCACACAGGCACCUUCCUUCACCUUGCCCUUAGUGUCGCAUGUGCCCCGUGUUGGCCGUCGCCAUGGCCGCAAAGUGGGUCAAGAUCUGUGGAGCUGCGCAUGGGGCGAGCAUAUCGGCCCACGCUGCUCAAUCCUGUCUGGGCGUCGUUUGGAUUGGGCGGCGGAGAUGGCGAAUUUUUUUUAGAACAUAGACGUCAGGGACGUCCGGCUUUAAAUUAA
rnacentral:rRNA from 1 species